rnacentral:rRNA from 1 species
UACGGGGGGGGCAAGCGUUGUUCGGAAUUACUGGGCGUAAAGGGCUCGUAGGCGGCCAACUAAGUCAGACGUGAAAUCCCUCGGCUUAACCGGGGAACUGCGUCUGAUACUGGAUGGCUAGAGAUUGGGAGAGGGAUGCGGAAUUCCUGGUGUAGCGGUGAAAUGCGCAGAUAUCAGGAAGAACACCCGUGGCUAAGGCGGCUCUCUAGUACGGUACUGACGCUGAGACGCGAAAGCGUGGGGAGCGAACAGG